UGCAGUCGACGGUAGAGGCUUCGGCCUUGAGAGUGGCGAACGGGUGAGUAAUGCAUCGGAACGUACCCAGUCGUGGGGGACAACGUAGCGAAAGUUACGCUAAUACCGCAUACGACCUGAGGGUGAAAGUGGGGGACCGCAAGGCCUCACGCGAUUGGAGCGGCCGAUGUCAGAUUAGCUAGUUGGUGGGGUAAAGGCCCACCAAGGCGACGAUCUGUAGCGGGUCUGAGAGGAUGAUCCGCCACACUGGGACUGAGACACGGCCCAGACUCCUACGGGAGGCAGCAGUGGGGAAUUUUGGACAAUGGGGGCAACCCUGAUCCAGCCAUGCCGCGUGCGGGAAGAAGGCCUUCGGGUUGUAAACCGCUUUCGGACGGAAAGAAAUCGCAUGGGCUAAUACCCUGUGUGGAUGACGGUACCGUAAGAAGAAGCACCGGCUAACUACGUGCCAGCAGCCGCGGUAAUACGUAGGGUGCGAGCGUUAAUCGGAAUUACUGGGCGUAAAGCGUGCGCAGGCGGUUUCUUAAGCCAGAUGUGAAAUCCCCGGGCUUAACCUGGGAACUGCAUUUGGAACUGGGAGACUAGAGUGUGUCAGAGGGGGGUGGAAUUCCGCGUGUAGCAGUGAAAUGCGUAGAGAUGCGGAGGAACACCGAUGGCGAAGGCAGCCCCCUGGGAUAACACUGACGCUCAUGCACGAAAGCGUGUGGAGCAAACAGGAUUAGAUACCCUGGUAGUCCACGCCCUAAACGAUGUC
rnacentral:rRNA from 1 species